CUCUGAUCGACCUCGUGUGCAUCUCUGAUCGACCUCGUGUGCAUCUCCGAUCGAUGUCUCCGUCUGCGAUCGAUUUCGUCUCAUUCUCAAUUCGAUCUUGUCCUAGUCAUAUUGAUCUAUUAUCCUCUCUCCAUUUCCAAUCGAUCUUCACAUUCUCUCAUCCUUGCUCCUAUUUUCAUAUGAAACCCUAAUCUAGCUGUUUAACAUCUAUAAUUCAUAUUUUGUCAAUUUCAGGUUCUUUCAGUUUUGAUUUUUUGUAUCCAGUUGAAGAAAAGUAAUUGAAGCUUCAAGAGUCACGAAAUGCUCUAAGAGAAGUUGUGAAGCUGCUUGAACAAAUCGUUAACAAGUUCCAAACUCAGAGUGCGAGCUUCAAAAAAGGUUAUUACAGUUGCAGAUCAAGAGGUGGAAGAGAUAAUCAGAGAAUCAUGAGUCUGUGGAACUAGAAGCAAGUUCGGUUCAGAUAGGUGACAAUGUGGUUCUAUAAAAGUUGCUUGUAAGUUGAUAUAUUUGAUCUGAAAUGUGAUUGAUUUUAAAAAUACUAUAAGUUGAGGAAUGCUUAGUUAGGUAUAUCACUCUGUUUAUUUUCUACCAGUGGGGUCCGAGAUAUUUUGACCCUCAAGAUAGUAGUUGGGGUGCAUGCUAUAAUUGCUGUGAGGAAGGUCACGCUGUUGUAAACUGUCCAGCAGCGAAGCAGAUGAAACAGUGCUAUGUGUGUGCUGGUUUAUGACACACUUCAAGAGAGAUGAUGUAUGUGUUUGUGGAGGAACAUGUACAUUAUACAUGUUGGGGCUUUUACAACAAUGUGUUCAUCAUUGCUUGGUGGAAC